rnacentral:rRNA from 1 species
CCUCUUUGUCAAAGCCUGAUCUCUUCAGAUCUCAGAGGUUAAGGGGUUGGUUAGUGCUUGGAUGGGAGACAGCUAGGGAUACCAGUGGGACGCAGGU